AUCUGGGUUGAUCCUGCCAGUAGUCAUACGCUCGUCUCAAAGAUUAAGCCAUGCAUGUGUAAGUAUAAAUAAUUCUACUUUGAAACUGCGAAUGGCUCAUUAUAUCAGUUAUAGUUUAUUAGAAAUAGUUUUCUACUUGGAUAACCGUAGUAAUUCUAGGGCUAAUACAUGAGUAAAUCCUCGACUUUUGAAGAGGUGUGUUUAUUAGUAUGAAAACCAUAUGCUUUUGCAUGAUAGUGAGUAAUAAUAACCUUUCAUAUCGCCUGUUUUUAAUAGCGAUAGUUCUUUCAAGUUUCCGCCCUAUCAGCUUUCGAUGGUAGUGUAUUGGACUACCAUGGCAGUAACGGGUAACGAAGAGUUUGGGUUCGAUUUCGGAGAGGGAGCCUGAGAGAUGGCUACCACAUCCAAGGAAGGCAGCAGGCGCGUAAAUUACCCAAUCCUGACAUAGGGAGGUAGUGACAAUAAAUUUCAAUGCGGGACUUUUUAGUUUUGCAAUUGGAUUGAGAACAAUGAACAAGAGUUAUCGAUAAACAAUUGGAGGGCAAGUCUGGUGCCAAGCAGCCGCGGUAAUCCCAGCUCCCAAAAGUGGAAA
rnacentral:rRNA from 1 species